GAGUUCACUGCAAGAUUUCCUACAAGAAAAUCAGAAAUUACUGCGUAAUUUCCACGUAAGGGAUAAAAGCACGUAUCUCUCUCAUAAAACCACAUCGAGGCGAAUGGAUUUUAACGUCGUCGGGAGACGAAGCUUCGAAUGGAGAUUGGAAAACGGCGCGCGAGCAUUUUGAAAACAGGCAUUUUGAGAAAAGAGAAUAAGAGAUUGCGAGACUGUCACACAGAGAGAGAGAGAGAGAGAGAAAGAGAGAGAGAGAGACACGAGAGACUGGGAGGUUAACGAGUAACGAGCGGUCGUGAUUGCGUAAUUUCCGGGAAGAAGCGAUCGCACGCAGCUAGGGAGCCUGCGAUCGUUCUUGAAGGAGCGGCGUGGUGUGCCGGCAUUCGUCCUUGGAGCGCCCUUGAUACUGGCUGUGCAAGCUAAAUCGGCCGAUGGAAAGCUGGCUGGUCGGGUUUGGCGAGUGUGUAGGGCGUGGUCUAGCGUUGCACCCGGUGACCUCCUAGCCAGCUAGGCGGCCAUCUUUGAGCAUCGAGUCGUCCGGGCGUACUGCGAGGGUGAAAGUUGGGGUGGGUUUUCGGUGAGGAUGGAACCGACGAACAGGUCGCUUCGUGAAAUCCUCUCUCUCUCUCUCUCUCGCUCGCUCGCGCCGCUGCCUGGCCUCGCUCUGUCAAAGGAGACGCCCUCUCCCACGCCUCGUAACACUUCCUUUUCUCUCUCCUCUCUUCUCUUCCCUACCCGUUCUUCCCUCUCCCUUCUCGCUUCUCACCGGAAGUCUUCGCUUUCGUUUCCCUCCUCCUUCUCCACUCUCCCCCUCCCCCCUUCGUUUCACGCGACUCGCACCACUCAUCUCCUCGAACGCUUUUGCUUUUAAUUUUGCCUUUGCAACAGGCCUGUCGCAAGCUUUCCCCACGAAUCACCCCGAGCAACGAUUAGGCUUUUAACCUGCCGAGGGAUCAACUGUCGGACGAUGCAGAGCUUGUCGCUUUUCCCCAACUGGAAACUCGCAAACUUCGUAGUUCUCGAACUUUCACAGAGACGCAUACCGAGAGUGUAUUCCUUCGGUACCACUCGCAUGCCCCUCUACCCCCCUCCACCCGCUGGCCAACCGUUUCGCAAUGAUGUCAUCCGCAACAUUGGCGCAGACAACGGAGGGGAAUUUUCUUCAAACGGGGCAGGGAACGAAGUCCACAACGCCAAGAGACACGAUCUCGUCACUGUUUUUUAUUCGGAUGCAAGCCCGGUUGGCGUGACAACGUUUUUCCUAAAAAAAAAAAAAAAAAAAAAAAAAAAUAAAGCGACGAUACUCGAAGACAAUUGGAUGGCGUGGAAUUCUCGUCACCGCGAUGCGAAUGACGCGGCGAGAACGGAACUCGCGUUCAGCGGAUUAAGAAGAUGAGUCGUCGAGUCGCCAGACUUGUGGCCUCAGAUUAUUUAACCCGCGCGUGAAAGACUUUUCAUUCUUCCUCGGUGCAGCUUGCCAAAGUCGUGCCAACUAUCCAUCUGAGAUUACCAAAUUUUAAUUACCAAUUACCUAGAAAAAGAAGAUAUUAGCUGCAGAUUGGACUACAAUUGCACAGAUUGGUAAUAUGGUAAUGAUUUUAAAAUAACUGAACUUUCGUAAUUGUACGUUUAUUUUCAAUUUCAGCCUCGUUACAAUAAAACGGUUGUGCAUCAUUCUCACAUGCACAUGCGUAGCACAUUUCGCUUCACCUAUCGUAUAAAUUUUAUUGCUUACAAUUUGUUACAAAUUUACGCACACGUAUCUGUGUAAACAAAGCAAUUACACACAUAUGUACACACACACAUUCACGCACGUGGUGCAUACAAAUUCAAUAGCUGGCGACCAUUCGUUUAUGGCUACGAGGUUGACAUUUCCGAGUUGGAAAUUCCGGGGAAUUUCAGCAGAAAGCCGGCAAAAAGGUUGCGAGCGAUUUUGAUAGGAAACGCGUUUUCUCGGACUCAGGUAGCAAGCACACGAUGAGCCAUGGCGAGGCGGAUUCGAGGACACCGUGUAAAAUUAGACAGCGCGUGGAACGGAAUUCGAGCCAAUCAAGCAAUCCCAAAUGGAAAUGGAAACGGUUCGGUUACUAUACAAAAGAUGGCCGCAAUGCGGUGGUUUCUAUAAAAUGGCGGUUGUUGUGUCCACCCGUCGCUCGCUCUUCUUUUUUCUCUCUUGCACAGAUUUCAACCGAUACUUACGCCUUCCGAAAGCACACACGUCCCAAUGUCUUCGAUAAAAUUAUUUCGUUUCGUCGCGAUUAUUAAAGCGAACCGAUCACGCUAAAAACAUUCUGUAUACAAAAAUUUCAAUACUACCAAAAAGUUUCUUUUUCGCAAAAAAGGAAAAAAAAUUCAAUGAUCUAGAGAUUUGCAACUUGGGGGCACGCUUGGUUCGACAGCGAUAACAAGCGAAACCAAUGUCAGCGAUAUCGAGGGAAGAAACGAAUCUGGUAAUAUUACAAGAUCGGUACAGAAUAUCGAGACUACGAUCUCGAUAGCGGUACGUACGUAUAAAGUGGCACAAGGCAAGCCAGUCCCACUUCCCUUUCCUCCUUACAUGUACGUGCGCGCACGGCAUAUCUCAAUUCCAUCAUCGUCUCCUACCUGUCCAUUCUUCCUAAGGAGUGGUAAAACUUUCCAAACUUCUCGUUUUUAUCCAUCGACUUUUCUCUAUACCGUGAAACGUGUCAACAAAAUCAUAGUACAAGUACUGUCCUUUUCAAACGAACUUAACCCACUGGAAAUACCGUAUACAGUUUUUUUUUCUCUCAUUGCACGCGAAGAGAAUCGUGCAUGUCCUUUCCUUACUUGGAGUCCAACGAAACAAAAAAAGAAAAAAAAUUUGUUUCUCUGCGCGGGACAAUCACGGACUGUAUCAAAAACGUGUGAAAUCUGAAAUCACAAAAAAUAUGCAUUUAAAGAGUUUCUUCAAAUAUGAAAAAGAAAAAAGAGAUAAAUGCAGAUGCGAGCUGUGAAACAACACUUGUAAAACCGAUACACUUGUUUUACACGGAGAAUGACAACGGAGCGGUUUACUAAAGAGAGA